AUAAACUAACACCAAAAUGAAAUAAUAAUCUGGAAUCUUCUAAUUGGAAACGAAAUAGUUCUUCUCCCUCUUUUCUCUUCUUUUCUUUUGUCACCUGCGUCUCUCUCUCUCCGUUCUCUCGCCGUCUGUCUCUUUCUCUCUCGUCCGGCGAGCGUGGCCGAUCCUCGCCGCCUCCGGCGUGGCGAGGUCGGCACCCCUUCCUCCCCUCCUCUCCUUCCCCUCUUUUUUUUUAUUUCUUCCCUUCAAUCUAAAAUCCCCAAAUUCUAGGGAUUUCUGCCUCCAUUUUCCCUUUUGAAAUCCGUCCCUCCGGCAAGGCCCGUCGCCGUCUUCGUCGCACCGCCACCCCUGCCUCAGGAAUCGAUGAUUCAACUCCGGCGAGGCAGCCCGCCUCCUGAUCAAUGCUCAAGAUUCUAUUUUUUUCUACCUUUCUUAUUGUAAAUUUAUGUUCUUUCAUUGAUUGAUUAUUGAAAAACUGAAGCUGUAAUGGUUGGGGAAAUCGUACUUUGCUUAUAGAAAUUAGAGUUAGAGAUAUCUGUUUGUGCUUAACUGGUGUAGCUAUGUCUGUUUUCACUGCUUUUCUGUACAUAAAGAAUCUACUGUAUUGAAAGAAAGACUACCUUCUUUGA